GACUCCUACGGGAGGCAGCAGUGGGGAAUAUUGCACAAUGGGCGCAAGCCUGAUGCAGCCAUGCCGCGUGUGUGAAGAAGGCCUUCGGGUUGUAAAGCACUUUCAGCAGGGAGGAAGGAGUGUAUAGUUAAUAGCGGUAUCAUUUGACGUUACUCUGCAGAAGAAGCACCGGCUAACUCCGUGCCAGCAGCCGCGGUAAUACGGAGGGUGCGAGCGUUAAUCGGAAUUACUGGGCGUAAAGCGCAUGCAGGUGGUUUGUUUAAGUCAGAUGAGAAAGCCCCGGGGCUCAACCUGGGAAUUGCAUUUGAAACAGGCAAACUAGAGUACUGUAGAGGGGGGUAGAAUUUCAGGUGUAGCGGUGAAAUGCGUAGAGAUCUGAAGGAAUACCGGUGGCGAAGGCGGCCCCCUGGACAGAUACUGACACUCAGAUGCGAAAGCGUGGGGAGCAAACAGGAUUAGAUACCCUGGUAGUCCACGCCGUAAACGAUGUCUACUUGGAGUUUCCCGCCUUGAGCCGUGGCUUUUCGAGCUAACGCGUUAAGUAGACCGCCUGGGGAGUACGGUCGCAAGAUUAAAACUCAAAUGAAUUGACGGGGGCCCGCACAAGCGGUGGAGCAUGUGGAAUAGUUCGAUGCAACGCGAAGAACCUUACCUACUCU
rnacentral:rRNA from 1 species